AUGAUAGCAACAGUACAACUAGAUGCCAAAAAAAUGGUUCCGAAUCGGUUUCUAGACAAAAGAACAGGCCUAAUCCUCAUCGAUGAGUUGAUAAAAAAUAUUGUUGAUACUCAGUCAUAUGAUGAUGAUUUUGUGAGAAGGGUCGUACUGGUUCUUAUGAGUACAUUCUUAGCACCACAAUCCACCAAGUUUGUUCCUUAUCGUUAUUACAAAAUGGUGGAGGACGUGAACGCUAUCAAGUCAUACAAUUGGAACGAUUUCACGUUGAGGGUGUGCAUGGAUGCUAUUAAAAAAUCGGUGGAAGAUCUUGAAAAAUUCAAGUGGCCUAUCGGGAACUUGGCUCUUCUUCAGUAUGUAUACUGGGAAAAAGUUGAGCCAAUUGGUGUGGAUACAUUUGAUCCUUUGCCUCGUGAAUACCCACUAAUGGUUAAUUGGCCAGAAACGGAAGGGAAAAAGAAAGACAACUAUGACAACUUGCACGGGCGUGGCACCGGCAAUCUUGAAAAUUGUGUUAGCGAAGAGUACAGACAUGCUAAGGUAGCACGUGAAGGGACUGUCCCAGAUGAAGAAACGAAGAAAUCUAAACGGAAAGGUGGUGGCAGGAGUAGAAAGCCAAGCACGUAA
rnacentral:rRNA from 1 species